GUUUGCUAUCCAUUAGGUCCCUCUUGCAUUUUGCACUUGUUUUUUAGGUGAAUUAAAGAUUGCUAAGGGAGGAAAUGGCUCAAGAAGGGAUUGGCAAUAUGGGAGGGAUGGUUAUGAAUAUUUUCACCAGAAGAGUAUUGAGACAAUCUGCUGGAAAAAGAAUUGAAAGAAAUUUAUACUUCCCUUUCACAUGAUGCUUGUUUGGAGAAUUUCGCAGGGUUUUGCUGAUCCUCUUCAUCCGGGGUUUUCUCAUGUUGCUGGGAUGUUGUCAUUGAUUAGGGUGAUUGGGCUUGCUUGGAUUAGAUCUUGGCUGCAAGAGUCUUUUAUACAAGCUUAUUCUACCAGACCCCUUGGUGUUUGAGUCCAACCAUAGUUGUUGGCUGAAUCAAUUCAGUCAAAUGGAGCCUGCUAAUUUUUGAAGGGUGCGUAUGACAGUUGAAGCCAUGAUGCAUCUCAUCUGAUAACUUCAGAAAAUUUGGAACUUAUUCAGGCAUUGUCUGGUGAAGCCUCAUCUGUUCAGAAAAGCAUGUCAAAGAAGACAAUUAUUGGUGCCAAGCGCCCCCUUGAGCGGAGUCAUGAAAAUUAUGCAAUGGAUACUAUCCCAAUUCAUCCUGCCCAGGCAAUAUGUGUACCUGUGUACCCGAAGAACAAUGAUCAAAGGUGGAAGUGAGCAGAGGCCAAGUUGCCACCACCCAAAUGGUUACAUUUUCAGUCAUCCAAUUGAUGAGAUGACAGGAUGCAAACAAAGCUUUGAAGCUCAAAGUUGUGAUGAAGAUUGGCCUCUGUCUGAUUAUGAGCAUUUUGAAAGAGUGAGUGAGGACUGGUGAAGGAAGUCUUGCUGAUGAAGCUGUUCUUAUGUUUUUUUUUUAUUGCUUUUGCUUUGAUGCUUUUGUGGACUUGUCGUGAUUUUCAGCUCAUUUCUACUGCUGUAAUACAUUUUUGAGAGUGAUAUUUAUACUCUCUUUUGGGGAAUGAAAGACCUAUCUGUCAUAUUU